CGUUUUCACAUAAGUCAACUUCUGGUUUACUUUUUCAAGUAAAUGGCCAAGUCAACGAAGAAGCUAGGUUUCGUUUGAAAUCUGAAAUUGGGAGUUUAAAAUCAACUGGGUAUUCGAGAUUUUAGUUGGAUACACUGAUACGAGGUAAUAUAUGAAGAUUUGAGACCGAUUAACACUGGUUUGCUAGGGUUUUAUUGAGAUUUCGAAAAUAUUUUCGGCGAGGAAGACGACACUGGGUCUUCUGAUUUUGGGAAUUAUUUUCACAAAUUGGAUUUUGGGGAUUGAUUCUUAAGCUAUUUUGAAGCUGAAUCUGAAAUUUGGAGUCGGUUGAAGCUUGUUUGAACUGUUUGUGUACGAAAAUUUAGGAUAUCGACUCGCGGAAGAAGACAACCUGUGCUUGCUUAGAUUUCCUGUCUGCUUGCUGAGAUUACUUUCUGGGGGGUUUGAUUCUCUGCUUGUACGGAUCUCAUAAUUCCAUAUUGAUUCCACUUGAUGGAGCUUUGGGAGAAAAUCACUAUUGAGGCUCGAGGAUCCGAAGAACACCAGUUGCAAAUUUGAAGAACUUCGCGAUUGAUUCGAGCUGCUGAGAAUCGUCGCGACGAAUCAGUCAGCUGUACAGUCUGCUGUUAAAAUUCGACAGUGAGAGCUGCUGAUUGAUCUUGAAAGAAGCUGCAGACCUGAUCAAGUUCAACACUGUUUGGGGUGAGUUUCUACAACUGCUGUUAUCUGCACUGUUUGGUAAACUGCUUUGCUACUGAAAAAGGGACUCAAUUGAGCUGUAUUUGACAGCAUUUUGCCACUGCUUGAAGCUACAAAUUUUUAGCAGUAGCUUGUCUGCAUUUUCCACACUGUUUUGAGUUGAUUCUCUGCCCAGUUUCAGCUGUUAAAUCAACAUUUCACAGCUGAUUCUGCAGUAGUUUUGCAAGAAUUCUCCACUAGCAACUAUCAGUUGGGACCAUCAUUUGAGCUGCUGUUUCGAGAUUCUAGAAGCUGAAGUAUGGCCAGUUGUUUUUGAGGUUCUUUAGUCUGAAAACUGAGCUGAAAACAGACUGUUCUUUUGCCCUCUAGUAGCUGGGGAAGUUCUGAACAAUCUUUGAAGUUGUUGUGAAUUUGCAGAAGUUCUCUGCAGCAUAGAAUCUACCUUGUUUGGAGCUGCCAGUCCACUUAAGGUGCUGCAGUCUUGACUGCAAUAGCUGCAGUUCUGGGAGUAACUCAACAUAGUUACCUUAGCUGCAGUUCUGGGAGUAAUUGGUGUUUCAUUAACAGUUAGUUGGGCCAGGUGGUUAGGGUGAAAGGUUGGGAAUAUCAGCAGGUCAGUAGUUUGUGUCCAGUUUUCUAUCAAAGUUGUCUGUCCAACUAUUAAUCUUGCUUCUUCUUGUUUGUUAACUCUAAGCUAGAUUAACUUGAUAAUAGUUCAUAUUAAGUUUAAUUCUAGUUCUUGUGUGCUUAAUUUUAUUUCGUGCCAAUUGUUUCGUGCUUUUAUCUUUUACUUCUGUGUGAAUUGCUUGGUUCAAGUCCGUUUGCUUUUAAUUGUCUGUCCUUGCUAAUGCACAACUUCCACUCCACCCCAAAGACGGUUGGAACUUGUUGUGAAACCUUGGGACAUAAGUUUGCUAGCAAUUUUGACAUUCACUACUUGAGUGGAAAAAAGCCAGGAGUGAAUAGGACGUUGAGCACGCAAGAGGCAAUUGGUGUAAAGUGUUUUACACGAGGGUUGAGCGAAGUGAGUUGGUGAGGACAUUUACUGCUAACUUGUUUGCUCGUUUUGUAGGUAUCAUAGAGUACGGACAAACUUCUAGUCCUACUUGUGAUCCAAGGAGUGAGACUCCGAUGCAUGAAGUUGUUUCUAUGCUUUAUGACAUAAGCGAGAAGGUUGCCAACUUAAGUGAGAAGGUUACUGAUAGCAUCCUAGGAAGCUCAAAUCUAUUCAAGGACAAGGAUGAAGCUUUGGAAUCUCAAAGAGGGCCUUUAACAAAAUCUCAAGCUAAAAAGUUGCAAAACAAGGUCAUUGGACUUUAGGAACGAUCAAAGAAAUUGUUAGUUGGGAGGAAGUGCUUAAGGAUAAAGGAUAUGAGUUAUCUAGGUGCUGUAAUUAUUUUAUGGCCCAAAUUCAUGUCCAAAAAGAGGUGGAUUAGAUCCUAAGAAACAUCCUCUAAAGAAGGUCCAAAUCAGGCCACUAUUGGACCAAUUUAGCACCUUAAAUGUAUCCAAACUUGCAGCCCAUGAAGUCCUACAUAAAGCCACGUUUUUAUAGCAUAAAAAGGACUUACUUGAUGUCCAAGAAUGGUACAAUAUUCGUGCUAGAUGUUGAGUGCAAGUUGGUGCCAAGUUGCUUGCAAAUUUCCUUUAAGAUUUCCAAGAUUUUCAAGAUUCUAUCCAAGAUUGGUUCAGGACUUAUUUCCAUAUAUUAUGGGACUAUAUUUAUUGCUUUCCUAGUUAGUUAAGGUUAUGUUUUCCUUUUCUAAGAUUUUUGGAAUUACUUUCCAAGAAUGACUUGAUUUUUGCUUCCUAGUAUUUUCCUUUUCCUAAGGUAGUUGGACUUGUUGUCCAAAGUAGUUUAGGACUUUAUUUCCUUAUUUUUUAACCUUAAUUUCGUGACCCCCUCCUACCAAUAUAAGGGGUGUCUUCUUUGUUUUUAGACUUAGAUUAUUCAGACUAGUAUCAAUAAAAGUUGUGAGAUUUUUCUUGCA